GGUCCCUUCGUCCCGAAUGCCAGCCGAAAAGAGAGGAGGAGAGCGCUACCAGCGAUAAACCAAGACCGGGAAGGCAUAAUAGGAACCUGGGAAUAGAGCGAUGUCAAAAAGCUAAAAUACUGCCUCAACAAAUGGAAGCAGCAGUUAAUAAGGACAUCUCCAAGAUGGUCAGUGAACAGGGACACCUACUUCGCCAACACCACAACCAGCUGACACAACUGGGGAAGGCUAUGGAUGAGGCCCUCCAUGUUCUUCAACAGCUCGACAGUCCCAGAGGGGUGUCACCUCCAACAAGCGGAGGAUUCUCUACCACAGUUUGACCCAGCGAGCCCGCACACCAGCCCAUCCAACAGUCGACCCAGGUCAGCGAUGCCUCCCGGACAAAUACGACAGCUCUCCCUCAAAAUGCUGUGGCUUCCUACUCCAGUGCUCCCUCUAUUUCACUCAUCAGAUGGGAUCCCCCACCAUGGGGAGGUCCAAGGUUGCCACGGUUAUUUCCCUGCUGAGAGGACGGGCGUUGGUGGGGGCUACAGCUGUCUGGAGGAGAGGAGGAGCUGGGUUCCUAUAAGGGGUUCAUGGUUCUGUUAAGGGGGUCUUCCACCAUCCACCGGAGGGCAGAGAGGGAGGUGAGUGCUUAAUCCAACUAUGGCAGGAUGGCCAGACCACAACGGAGUAUGCACUCAUCUUUGUGACAGCGGAUGGAAUGAGCGGGCACUCUGCACCAUAUUCAGAAGAGGAUUGCGCGAAGAUGACAAUCUAACCUUGGACACACUCGUUGCGAUGGCCAUCUGUCUGGAUAACCUUCUUCGGGAACAUCGUCACCCCCAUCGCCUCUCCUCCUCCUUCAUUGUCUGUUCUGAGUGAGAGCCUGAACCCAUGGAGGUAGGUGCUCCAAGCAGCUGAGCUACGCCGGACAGGGGCUCUGUCCCUAUUGUGGCCAGGAGUGGCCCCAGCUUCAAUGGUGUCCAGUACGUCCCAACCCAGGAUCCACGAGAGCAGAGGGUUUGCCCCAUGAUCAUGCAUCUCCUGUGUUAGGCGUGAGUAAUCCAUCACUUUUCCCUAAACCUUUUUUAGUAUUGAUUUCACCAGCUGGCUGUUCCUCAUCUAUUGUUUCUACAGCUCUAGCGGACUCCGGUGCCACAGGGAAUUUUAUUGACCAGGCCCUUGCCUCCUCCCUGUACAUCACCUUAUUCCCGCUCUCCUCUCAGUUUCCGGUCCAAGUGUUGGAUUUGCGACCGUUUGGCUCAGGCAUCAUGACGCACAUCACAGCUCCACUCACCCUCACCAUGGGACCCAAGCACCAAGAAAGCCUUCCCUUCCUCAUCACCUCUGCACCGGUGCACAAAGUCAUCCUUGGCCUUCUGUGGCUCCAACUCCAUAAUCCCACCAUCUUCUGGUCAGAGAUAGAUUACAGCAUGGAGAUCACGAUGUCGGAGGACCUGUUUUCCCACACCCUAUUGCUCCACGUUGGUGGAGGGGCCCAGUGAGUGUCUGCCAGCCCAUCAAUCGGUCCUCUUGUAUCGUUGGCCCCGUGUUUUGGGUUGUGGACAUCUUCCAGGCUCUGGAGAGGGAACCUGCUCCUGCCCUCUAGAGCGAAUUUACAUACACAUAGGGUCAGAGACCGGUUGCUGACCUGGGCGCACACAUCCCUCGCCACUGGACACCCGCACCACUCAAUCCCUUUCUGAGAAAUACUAGGGGCCUACUUUGGCAAAGAACGUUGCUCACUGUAAACUAAUUUUCAGUACAUACUGAAUCAACAUUUUCCCGGUAGGCUCCAGCAGGUAAACUCCUUCCUGUGCCUCAGCAUCCCUGGUCUCAUCUGUCCAUUGAUUUCGUCACUGAUCUCCCCUCGGAUGGUUUCACCACCAUUUGGUGGCUGUGGACAGAUUCUCAAAAUCAUGCAGUUUCAUUCCCCUCUCUGGUCUCCCUACCACUCCAAGUUGCGGAGGCACUGUUCCAGCAGGUCUUCCAUCAAUACGGCCUUCCAGAGGAUAACGUCAGGGUCAAGGUUAGUCUCACUUUCGGGGUACUGGCCUCAAUCUAAUUGGCAGGUGGAGAGGAUGACCCAGGAGCUGGGGAGGUUUCUGAGGAGUCACUGCCAGGUCCGGCAGGGCCGAUUCCUUCCUUGGGCUGAAUACGUCCAGAAUUCAUUGCGACACUCCUCCACCGGGCUGACUCCCUUCCAGUGUGUUCUGGGUUACCAGCCGGCCCUGGAUCCUCACCAGACUGACACUCCUCCUCCGGGCUGACUCCCUUCCAGUGUGUUCUGGGUUAUCAGCCGGCCCUGUAUCCUCACCAGACUGACACUCCUCCACCGGGCUGACUCCCUUCCAGUGUAUUCUAGGUUAUCAGCCGGCCCUGUAUCCUCACCAGACUGACACUCCUCCACCGGGCUGACUCCCUUCCAGUGUAUUCUAGGUUAUCAGCCGGCCCUGAAUCCUCACCAGACCGACACUCCUCCAUCGGGCUGACUCCCUUCCAGUGUGUUCUGGGUUAUCAGCCGACCCUGAAUCCGCACCAGACCGACGCUCCUGCAGUGGAUGAGUGGUUCAGGUGCGCAGAGGUAUGGAAUGAUGCUCACCUGAGACUCCAGCGCACCGUCUGAAAGAGCAGACGGAUCGUUACCGAAGUGGGGCUCCUGUGUUCCAUCCUGGUGACCACAUCGCUCUCCACCAGGAACCUCCCACUCCAACUUCCCUGCCGGUGGUUCCUGGUCCCCUGGCUGAUGCCGUCCCCCACGACACCCCUCCCUCUCCCUUGGACAUUGAGGGGAGCCCCGCCUAUGCUGUGAGAUUACUCCUAGACUCCCGACGUCUUGGGGGUCUGCUCCAGUACCUAGCGGACUGAAAGGGGUACAUUCCAGAAGAGCGAUGCUGGGUUCCGGUGGACGACGUUUUAGAUCCCGACGUUAUCUGAGAGUUCCACCUUCGCCGAUCGGUCUGCUCCUUGUCCUCGGGAGCCGUCCUCCUGGCUGGCGUUGUCCUGCAAGUUGGAGCUGCGUUCUCUGGGGGGGGUACUGUCACGUCUACUCCAGCGCUCAACGUCGUUGGUCUACUAACCACCGUUCCUGGCAACCUAUCAUUACGCACACCUGCGCCCCAUCAUGAGGCUCACCUGGACUCCAUCACUACCCUGAUUACUCCCCCUUUAUUUAGCACUCCCCAACAUCAAUCUUCAGGCAAUAUUGGUUAUCAAAUCAAAUCAAAUUUAUUUGUCACAUACACAUGGUUAGCAGAUGUUAAUGCGAAAUGCUUGUGCUUCUAGUUCCGACAAUGCAGUAAUAACCAACGAGUAAUAUAG